rnacentral:rRNA from 1 species
GAAAUAGUUCCUGAAACCAUGUGCCUACAAGCUGUCGGAGCCCGUUAAUGGGUGACGGCGUGCCUCUUGCAGAAUGAACCGGCGAGUUACGAUUGCAUGCAAGGUUAAGGUGGAAAAACUGGAGCCGUAGCGAAAGCGAGUCUUAAAUGGGCGCAAGAAGUAUGUAGUUGUAGACCCGAAACCAGGUGACCUACCCAUGUCCAGGUUGAAGGUGCGGUAAAGCGCACUGGAGGACC